GGGAUGAUGAAGUUGUUGGAUUAGUUUCUAAUCCACACCAGAGGUCAAAACAACAAUCCUGACCCCAGACGAGCCUCCAAGGGCAGAUGGAUCCUGUGAAAGCUGAACUUCAGCCCUCAUUGAAGAACGGGCUCUCAUUUUAGUGAAGAGCGUCAGACUGAAUUCACAAACGCACCAUGUCAGGUCACUCACUCUACGAGACCACAAGUGUUACUUGAAAAAGUAAACACUGACCAACAGGACCAGACUGGCCGACCCGUAUACUGUCACUCAGUGGAUGGAUGAUUUGACAGGACUGCUGAAGGUCGGCCAUUAAUAGCCAGGUUGAUGCCUUGAACCCCAAAUUGCUCCCAGUGUGUGUGUGUAUGACAAAAAACACAAGUUACUCUGGACAAGCACAUCUGUUAUUCGAUGCCGUGUCAUGUACAAAUAAAUAUUUC